UACGUAGGGGGCAAGCGUUUGUCCCGGAUUUAUUGGGCGUAAAGAGCGUGUAGGCGGCCAGGUAGGUCGGUUGUGAAAACUGGAGGCUCAACCUUCAGAGGUCGACCGAAACCAUCUGGCUAGAGUCCGGAGAGGAGAGUGGAAUUCCUGGUGUAGCGGUGAAUGCGCAGAUAUCAGGAGGAACACCGGUGGCGAAGGCGGUUCUCUGGGAAUGACCUGACGCUGAGAGCGAAAGUGUGGGAGCGAACAGG
rnacentral:rRNA from 1 species